ensembl:lncRNA
CCUGAACAGGGACUUGAACCCUGGACCCUCAGAUUAAAAGUCUGAUGCUCUACCGACUGAGCUAUCCUGGCUUCUAAAGCUCUUUUGAUUAUUGCAAAUGUGACUCUGGCAGAGGAACAAACUAAAUGUGUUCGUCCAAUUCCAAAAAGGCUCAAAGGAAUGAGCAGAAAAGGUACAGCUUUUUUUGGAACCGGCUCAGGAUUAGCAAGAGUCAGGCAUCUUACCAGAAAGUCACUCCACUACAAAACAUCAAGCCUGAAUAGGGACUUGAACCCUGGACCCUUAGAUUAAAAGUCUGAGGCUCUACCAACUGAGGAUAACCUUGAUUGAAAGGUAAUCUUGUAAAACAAUACUUGUUAAACAAAUAUAUAAGACGACUGAGGAGAAACCCAAUUCCAAAAAGGCUCAGAGGAACAAGCAGAAAAGGUACAUCUUUUUUUGGAACCGGCUCAGGAUUAGCAAGAGUCAGGAAUCACUGCACUACAAGACAUUAAGCCUGAACAGGGACUUGAACCCUGGACCCUUAGAUUAAAAGUCUGAGGCUCUACCAACUGAGGUUUGACUUUGUAUGAAAGGUAAUCUUGUAAAACAAUACUUGUUAAAGGAAUAUAUAAGACGACUGAGGAGGAACCCAAUUCCAAAAAGGCUCAGAGGAACAAGCAGAAAAGGUACAUCUUUUUUUGGAACCGGCUCAGGAUUAGCAAGAGUCAGGCAUCUCACCAGAAAGUCACUCCACAACAAAACUUCAAGCCUGAAUAGGGACUUGAACCCUGGACCCUCAGAUUAAAAGUCUGAUGCUCUACCGACUGAGCUAUCCAGGCUUCAAAAGCUCUUUUGAUUAUUGCAAAUUUGACUCUGGCAGAGAAACAAACUAAAUGUGUUCGUCCAAUUCCAAAAAGGCUCAGAGGAAUGAGCAGAAAGGGUACAGCAUUCUUUGGAACCGGCUCAGGAUUAGCAAGAGUCAGGAAUCACUGCACUACAAGACAUUAAGCCUGAACUUAGCCAGUGUCUGAUAUUAGCAAAAUUCUACUUACUUUUAGUUUUUUUGUGUUGUUGUGGCCGAGAGGUUAAGGCGAUGGACUAGAAAUCCAUUGGGGUCUCCCCGCGCAGGUUCGAGUCCUGCCAGCAACGAAGUUGACUGUAGAGCUUUCUAGUCCAACCGCAGAGUCAUUUUUUGAUAUUCAUACCUUAACGUGUGCAGUCCCACUUUGAAACUCCAAAUUCACAAGGAUUUUUAUUUAAAGUGAUGCAUUCAGUCUUUCCAAGUCAGCUUUUUGCCAGUCAUAGUAGGUUUUCCCUUGGAAACGUCUCCAUUCAUUGUUUUUUUCUCACACUUCUUCCUUUAUAUAGGCAAAAACAAAGUAAUUUUUGGAAUUUGUGCAGGGGAUGUAGCUCAGUGGUAGAGCGCAUGCUUAGCAUGUAUGAGGUCCUGGGUUCAAUCCCCGGCAUCUCCAUUAGAUAUUAUGCGCAAAUUUAAAAGGUUUUCAGGUAAGUCGUGGGGAAAUGUCAUGAUAAGAGGAGCCAUCAAAUAUACCGUCCAACAAGGGGAAAAA